CACUUCCUGGGGUGUUCGCUAGUCGGUUAAGUCCCUCGAGCCGAUAAGCACUACCCAGAGGGUGGAAAGCAGGUGUUGUGUGCAUGUCCGGUUACCGGAAAGCCUGAUAUAUCUGCUGACAUCCUCGACCUGAACCUUUGGGUUCAGGGCCACAACCGAUGUCGGCAUCCUGGGAGGCCC
rnacentral:other from 1 species